AUGAAAGGCGAUGAUAAGGAUUGGGUUCAGCUGGCUGUUGUUAACUGUGAUUGGAGCCCUGAAGAAGGAAAAUUGCGAGCUGAGGUCAACCAGCUCUCCAAAUGUAGUGUGAAAGUCAGAAUGCUCCUCGGCGGCCAUUAAGGAGAUUCUCAUAUCCUAGAACCAGAGGGCAGAAGGUGCUGAGAAUCGCUACCAAGAUCUGGUUUUAAAAGGGAGGUAGUUACAAAGAAGGCAGAAUAAGCAGCUCCUGCAAAUCCUAGGCUAAAGGAAUGAUGCUGGAAGUGGAUUCUUCUCUAGAGUCUCCAGAAAAGAGCCCAACAUUGACUUAGGCCUUCUGAGCCCCCCUGCAGAAAAAUCCACCUGGAGUUGUGAUGAUCAGAACUGUGAGGUAAAAGAAUUAGAGGAAGGGGAAAAAUUUCACUCUGCCUUGGUUCCUCCAAAAUGUCUUACCUAACUGACCAUUCCUCUGUAGAGUCUUCUUCAGCACUGAUGCUGUCAGCCCGUAUUUUACAAAGAGGUCAGCUCCUGGGUAUCAUGCUUGCCUUAGGGGCUGAACAUAGUGAAGACAAGGCCAAGAAAAUUCUGUACACUGCUGCUGCUAAGUUGCUUCAGUCGUGUCCGACUCUGUGCGACCCCAUAGACGGCAGCCCACCAGGCUUCCCCGUCCCUGGGA